ACUCGUGACGGUGGAUGUCUUGGCUCCAGCAACGAUGAAGAACGCAGCAAAAUGCGAUACGUAGUGCGAAUUGCAGAACCCGUGAAUCAUCGAAUCUUUGAACGCAAGUUGCGCUCGCGGGCAAUCCUGCGAGCAUGUCUGUUUGAGUGUCCGCACAAAU
rnacentral:rRNA from 16 species